AUUGAACGCUGGCGGCAGGCCUAACACAUGCAAGUCGAGCGAGCGGCGGACGGGUGAGUAAUGUAUGGGGACUGCCCGAUAGAGGGGGAUAACUACUGGAAACGGUGGCUAAUACCGCAUACUAUCGGAUAACCCAUAUGGGAUUAGCUAGUAGGUGGGGUAAAGGCUCACCUAGGCGACGAUCUCUAGCUGGUCUGAGUGGAUGAUCGGCCACACGGGGGCUGGUACACGGCCCAGACUCCUACGGAGGCAGCAGUGGGGAAUAUUGCGCAAGGGGCGGAAGCCUGAUGCAACCAUGCCGCGUGAAAUAAGAAGGCCUUGGGGUUGUAAAGUUCUUUCGGUAGCGAGGCGUUAGCUACAGAAGAAGCACCGGCUAACUCCGUGCCAGCAGCCGCGGUAAUAC
rnacentral:rRNA from 1 species